AUGAACGCUAGCUACAGGCUUAACACAUGCAAGUCGAGGGGCAGCAUUUUAGUUUGCUUGCAAACUGAAGAUGGCGACCGGCGCACGGGUGAGUAACACGUAUCCAACCUGCCGAUAACUCCGGAAUAGCCUUUCGAAAGAAAGAUUAAUACCGGAUAGCAUACGAAUAUCGCAUGAUAUUUUUAUUAAAGAAUUUCGGUUAUCGAUGGGGAUGCGUUCCAUUAGUUUGUUGGCGGGGUAACGGCCCACCAAGACUACGAUGGAUAGGGGUUCUGAGAGGAAGGUCCCCCACAUUGGAACUGAGACACGGUCCAAACUCCUACGGGAGGCAGCAGUGAGGAAUAUUGGUCAAUGGGCGAGAGCCUGAACCAGCCAAGUAGCGUGAAGGAUGAAGGCUCUAUGGGUCGUAAACUUCUUUUAUAUGGGAAUAAAGUUUUCCACGUGUGGAAUUUUGUAUGUACCAUAUGAAUAAGGAUCGGCUAACUCCGUGCCAGCAGCCGCGGUAAUACGGAGGAUCCGAGCGUUAUCCGGAUUUAUUGGGUUUAAAGGGAGCGUAGGUGGAUUGUUAAGUCAGUUGUGAAAGUUUGCGGCUCAACCGUAAAAUUGCAGUUGAAACUGGCAGUCUUGAGUACAGUAGAGGUGGGCGGAAUUCGUGGUGUAGCGGUGAAAUGCUUAGAUAUCACGAAGAACUCCGAUUGCGAAGGCAGCUCACUAGACUGUCACUGACACUGAUGCUCGAAAGUGUGGGUAUCAAACAGGAUUAGAUACCCUGGUAGUCCACACAGUAAACGAUGAAUACUCGCUGUUUGCGAUAUACAGUAAGCGGCCAAGCGAAAGCAUUAAGUAUUCCACCUGGGGAGUACGCCGGCAACGGUGAAACUCAAAGGAAUUGACGGGGGCCCGCACAAGCGGAGGAACAUGUGGUUUAAUUCGAUGAUACGCGAGGAACCUUACCCGGGCUUAAAUUGCAACAGAAUAUAUUGGAAACAGUAUAGCCGUAAGGCUGUUGUGAAGGUGCUGCAUGGUUGUCGUCAGCUCGUGCCGUGAGGUGUCGGCUUAAGUGCCAUAACGAGCGCAACCCUUAUCUUUAGUUACUAACAGGUCAUGCUGAGGACUCUAGAGAGACUGCCGUCGUAAGAUGUGAGGAAGGUGGGGAUGACGUCAAAUCAGCACGGCCCUUACGUCCGGGGCUACACACGUGUUACAAUGGGGGGAACAGAAGGCGGCUACCUGGUGACAGGAUGCUAAUCCCAAAAACCUCUCUCAGUUCGGAUCGAAGUCUGCAACCCGACUUCGUGAAGCUGGAUUCGCUAGUAAUCGCGCAUCAGCCAUGGCGCGGUGAAUACGUUCCCGGGCCUUGUACACACCGCCCGUCAAGCCAUGAAAGCCGGGGGUACCUGAAGUACGUAACCGCAAGGAGCGUCCUAGGGUAAAACUGGUAAUUGGGGCU
rnacentral:rRNA from 1 species